rnacentral:rRNA from 1 species
ACAAGCAGCGGAGCGUGUGGUUUAAUUCGUUGCUACACGAAGAACCUUACCUGGGUUUGACAUAUAGGUUGUAGGGAACUGAAAAGGGACCGACCCUUCGGGGAGCCUAUACAGGGUGUUGCAUGGCUGUCGUCAGCUCGUGUCGUGAGAUGUUCGGUUAAGUCCGCUAACGAGCGCAACCCUCGUCGUAUGUUAUAUGUGUCAUACGAGACUGCCGGUAAAAAGCCGGAGGAAGGUGAGGAUGAUGUCAAGUCAGCAUGACCUUUAUAUCCAGGGCUACACACACGCUACAAUGGUCUGUACAAUGGGUAGCCAAGCCGCGAGGCGGAGCCAAUCCUGAAAGCAGGCCUCAGUUCAGAUUGCAGUCUGCAACUCGACUGCAUGAAGCCGGAGUUGCUAGUAACCGCAGGUCAGCAAUACUGCGGUGAAUACGUUCCCGGGUCUU